UGUCCAGGGGCGGGAAUCGAACCCACAACCUUCUGCUUACCGGGCAGGUGCCAUGUCCACUAGGCUACCCUGGC